GUGAAUCAUCGAAUUUUUGAACGCAAAUUGCACUCUCUGGCAUUCCGGAGAGUAUGCCUGUUUGAGGGUCAGUUUAAAUAAAAAUCGAGGUGUUGCUUCUUUGUGACCUAUCGGAAUUGGGUUAUCUUUGAUCUUUUAAAGGUUUAAGUCAUCUAAAAUUGAUACCUUGUGCAUACCAGAUGUAAUUAAGAAUAUUUUUUUAUCCGAUCGGAGUUGUCAACUUUUAUUAGGUAUGACUAUAUUGUUUGUGGCAUUGUAUCUAUAAUAUAUUCUAAUAU
rnacentral:misc_RNA from 1 species